CGCUUCCCUUGGGAUAUGAAAAUGAAACGAAAGUCCAAGUGGAGUAGGCAGAUCUCCUAUUGACCCAUUUUCGUAAUAAUAGUCCCCACGCAAGUCAAUGAUCACCGUGUGCUAAGAAUGAGGAGCAGAGGCAAAUCAUCAGUCAUCGGGUUGCCUUUCGUAUUUCUGUUAUGUCUCUUCUUCUUCCUCCUCGGAUUCCUCGCUUCUUCUCUCUUCUCUCAACAGGAUGCACCUGUUGUACAGCCAAGGCCUAGGGCGCUAGAAUCUGUUGAUUUGGAGAAAGACUUUGAUCCCUUGCCAAUUGGUGAGACUGGAGAGCAUUCCCUCACUUCCAUCCCCUUUCAGGUUUUAAGCUGGUACCCACGUGCAUUAUACUUUCCCAAUUUUGCAUCUAUAGAACAAUGCCAAAGCAUAAUUAAGAUAGCAAAGGCAAAUUUGGAACCAUCAUCCUUGGCUCUACGCAAAGGAGAAACAGAAGAUACCACCAAAGGGAUUAGAACAAGUUCUGGCACGUUUAUUAGUGCAUCAGAAGACAAAACUGGAAUUUUGGAUCUUAUUGAGGAGAAAAUUGCAAAAGCGACAAUGAUCCCUAAGACACAUGGGUGUACGUGUUUCAGGCAUUUAAUGUUUUGCGGUAUGAAAUUGGCCAGAGAUAUCAGUCACAUUAUGAUGCUUUUGAUCCUGUUCAAUAUGGCCCUCAGAAGAGCCAAAGGGUCGCAUCCUUCUUAUUAUAUUUAUCCGAUGUUGAAGAAGGUGGGGAAACUGUUUUCCCCUUUGAGAACGGGCAGAACAUGGAUGGUAAAUAUGAUUUCAGCAAGUGUAUUGGCUUGAAAGUGAAGCCACGCAGAGGGGAUGGACUUCUAUUCUACUCAUUGUUUCCAAACGGUACAAUUGAUCUGACCUCACUUCACGGUAGCUGUCCAGUAAUCCGAGGAGAAAAAUGGGUAGCCACCAAGUGGAUCAGGAAUAUAGAACCGGACGAGUAAAUGCCUCUACAUUGUAGUGUUUGUUCAUUAGUUAUUUGUUGUACUAAGAAAACAAGCUUUGGAGUAAAUUGAUCUAUAGAAUUGAGAAUUUAUUUUA